rnacentral:tmRNA from 2 species
GGGCCCGUAAAGGUUUCGACGGGGAGUGUGAAGUGCGAGCAGCGGGUAGUGGAUGGGGGCCACACUAUAAACGCCUCCAAAAAAAUAGCUAACAACAACAAAUUAGCUGUCGCUGCCUAAUUAAGGCAGCUGUCCUGCCCACUCAAGCGUCGUGUGGGGCCAGGGCAUCAUUUAGACGCUGAACGUGAGCCGCCUCAAGCUUUGCGGGCGGCCAUGACCUCAUGAAGCUACCAAUGCGGCGGCCUGUUUGCCGGCCUGCCGCUGCGGGAAUGUUGUAGACAAACUGCACCCGGAGAUACUCUCGCGGAUCGCUUUUCGGACACGGGUUCGAUUCCCGUCGGGUCCACCA